rnacentral:rRNA from 1 species
UACGUAGGGGGCAAGCGUUGUCCGGAUUUAUUGGGCGUAAAGAGCGUGUAGGCGGCUAUACAGGUCCGCUGUGAAAACUCGAGGCUCAACCUCGAGACGUCGGUGGAAACCGUAUGGCUAGAGUCCGGAAGAGGAGAAUGGAAUUCCCGGUGUAGCGGUGAAAUGCGCAGAUAUCGGGAAGAACACCCGUGGCGAAGGCGGUUCUCUAGUACGGUACUGACGCUGAGACGCGAAAGCGUGGGGAGCGAACAGG